CAUUCCAUGGCCGAAUUGGUCAAGGCGUUCCAGAUUAGAGGCAAAAAUGCGGGUUCGAGUCCCGCUGGUAAGG
rnacentral:tRNA from 1 species